rnacentral:rRNA from 1 species
UGGGGAAUUUUGGACAAUGGGCGAAAGCCUGAUCCAGCAAUGCCGCGUGUGUGAAGAAGGCCUUCGGGUUGUAAAGCACUUUUGUCCGGAAAGAAAUCCUUGGCUCUAAUACAGUCGGGGGAUGACGGUACCGGAAGAAUAAGCACCGGCUAACUACGUGCCAGCAGCCGCGGUAAUACGUAGGGUGCAAGCGUUAAUCGGAAUUACUGGGCGUAAAGCGUGCGCAGGCGGUUUGCUAAGACCGAUGUGAAAUCCCCGGGCUCAACCUGGGAACUGCAUUGGUGACUGGCAGGCUAGAGUAUGGCAGAGGGGGGUAGAAUUCCACGUGUAGCAGUGAAAUGCGUAGAGAUGUGGAGGAAUACCGAUGGCGAAGGCAGCCCCCUGGGCCAAUACUGACGCUCAUGCACGAAAGCGUGGGGAGCAAACAGGAUUAGAUACCCUGGUAGUCCACGCCCUAAACGAUGUCAACUAGUUGUUGGGGAUUCAUUUCCUUAGUAACGUAGCUAACGCGUGAAGUUGACCGCCUGGGGAGUACGGCCGCAAGGUUAAAACUUAAAUGAAUUGACGGGGUCAUAGCUGUUUCCU